GCCUCAGAAUGUAUUUACGGAAUCAUCACUGUUCUUCUGCCAGAGAAGGACACAUUUUAAUAAAAAAAAAAGCAGUUGAUUCAUUCUAUGGGCCCUGUGGUGCUUUCAUCAGACGUUUUAUUUUGUUCAUAUCAGUGACCCCAGGAAAACAAAUGAUAGGGAAAUUUCUUUUUUAUUUUUAAGAUUAUAAUAUAGUGACAUUUCUUGCUUCCUUUUCUUUUCAUCAAAAUGUUCCAUACAGGCCUCCCCUACUUCCUGCUUUUUUAAAUUCAUGACUGUUUUUUCCCAUUAAUUUUCAUUGCAUUCAUAUAUGUAGAAUAAGACAUAUUCUUAAAUAUCACCUGUUCAGCCUGUAUUAUGCCACUUGUAUGUAUGUGUUCAGGGAUGACCAUUUGAUCUGGUAACCAGUUGGUGUGUUCUUCAAUGGGGAAGAACAUUUCUUUGACUUUAAGCAUUGCUUAAUUAGAUGUGGCAUUAUUUUCUCAGGUCACAGAACCAGCUCAAGUAACUAUAAUAAAGGUUUCUGGAUCCUGUCUUCCCAGAAUCCACAUCCUCUUGUUGGGUGAAAUCCAGGCUCGAAGUUUUGGAAUCAUCCAUCACUGCUUGAGUCAUGAUGACCCAGGAAUCCCCAGAUCCAUAUUAACAAGCCUGGCUCGAUAACACACUUGGAAUCCCAUUGCUGGUGCAGAGCGUGUAAAGGAAUUUAUCUCCAAUGGAAACAUGAAUUCCUACUACUUUCACUGUAAGGAGAUUGACUCUACAGUUUUGCUGACAUUCUCAGAAGCUCCAGUUUUUGUGAGAUGGCAUAAGGUUCCCUCAUGGCAUUGGAAGGAGCCUCAGAGAUUUGCUUUUCUUUGCCUACCUAGCUCUGGAAUGAUGAGUCUGCCCUACCACUCAGCAGCUUUCCAUGUGUUCUGGAGGUCAAACAGGUUCUCGUGCCUGCAAGCAGACUAUUUCUAAGCUGAGCUGCCUAUCAGG